UACAGAGGGCGCGAGCGUUGUCCGGAAUCACUGGGCGUAAAGGGCGCGUAGGUGGCCACUAUAAGGCCGCGGUGAAAGUUCGGGGCUCAACCCUGAAUCUGCCGCGGCGACUGUAGGGCUAGGGCACCGUAGAGGCAGAUGGAAUUCCGGGUGUAGCGGUGGAAUGCGUAGAGAUCCGGAAGAACACCGGUGGCGAAGGCGGUCUGCUGGACCAUAACUGACACUCAGGGACGAAAGCUAGGGGAGCGAAUGGG
rnacentral:rRNA from 1 species